CUUCACCGAGCCCAACAGCAGCGGGUGCUCCCGGUCCUGGCCGUAGGUGGCCAGCAGCGCCUGUGCUUC
rfam:Pseudonocardia sp. HH130630-07 plasmid pLS2-1, complete sequence.